rnacentral:misc_RNA from 1 species
AGCAGCCGCGGUAAUUCCAGCUCCAAUAGCGUAUAUUAAAGUUGCUGCAGUUAAAAGCUCGUAGUUGAAUUUCGGGAUCAAUAUGUUGGUCGUGCCUCGGUACGUACUAGCUUAUUGGUUUCUCCCUUCUGACGAACCAUGAUGUCAUUUAUUUGGUGUUAUGGGAAAUCAGGACUGUUACUUUGAAAAAUUAGAGUGUUUAAAGCAGGCUCACGCUUGAAUACAUUAGCAUGGAAUAAUGAAAUAGGACGUUUGAUUCUAUUUUGUUGGUUUCUAGGAUCGACGUAAUGAUUAAUAGGGAUAGUUGGGGGCAUUAGUAUUCAAUUGUCAGAGGUGAAAUUCUUGGAUUUAUUGAAGACUAACUACUGCGAAAGCAUUUGCCAAGGAUGUUUUCAUUAAUCAAGAACGAAAGUUAGGGAUCGAAGACGAUCAGAUACCGUCGUAGUCUUAACCAUAAACUAUGCCGACUAGGGAUCGGAUGAUGUUAAUUUUUUAAUGUACUCAUUCGGCG